rnacentral:rRNA from 1 species
AUACGGAGGAUCCGAGCGUUAUCCGGAUUUAUUGGGUUUAAAGGGUGCGCAGGCGGGAGAUUAAGUCGGCGGUGAAAUUUUGCAGCUCAACUGUAAAAGUGCCUUCGAAACUGGUUUCCUUGAGUGUAGAUGAAGUAGGCGGAAUUUGUGGUGUAGCGGGGAAAUGCAUAGAUAUCACGAGGAACUCCGAUCGCGCAGGCAGCUUACUAAACUACUACUGACGCUCAGGCACGAAGGCGUGGGGAUCAAACAGGAUUAGAUACCCUGGUAGUCCACGCAGUAAACGAUGAUUACUAGCUGUUUGCGAUACAAUGUAAGCGGCUGAGCGAAAGCGUUAAGUAAUCCACCUGGGGAGUACGUUCGCAAGAAUGAAACUCAAAUGAAUUGACGGGG